rnacentral:tRNA from 1 species
GUGGGUAUAGCUCAGUGGUAGAGUGCAUGCUUAGCAUGCACAAGGUCCUGGGCUCGAUACCUAGUACCUCCU